GGAGGAGGAUCGUGAGGCCAGUCCUCUAGGCUUGAAUCGCACGUCCCAGAGAGAGCGCCAGGAUGUGCUGAGAAAAUAGCCAGCACAUCCUGUGGUCUUUGCGGGGAAGAAGGGACUGGAUUUGGGUCUUAGCCCUGUGGCCGAGACGCGAGUCCUCACGGACUCUCUUCCAGCAUCUGGUCCAGGUGCAGACCAGAUGUUGGACAAUAAAGCCAACACACAGCCUGGGCAUGUGGGGCAGAAGCAAGUCAGGAGGGCACCUGCUGGCCCUGAGCUCUUCUCACCCUCCCUGCACAGCCCUUGAGCUUGGCAGGUGCACCCAGCAGCCAUGACUUUCUCGCCCCACACCAUCCGCAUCGAACGCGCUGCCCUGGAGUCUCAGCUCUUGCUUCCCUGGAGGCCCUUGUUGAAGUCUCAAAAUGAGAAGGCCCAAGGGAAACGUGUUUGAAAGGACUGAGCUUCCCCACCCCGGGGAGCCCCCCAUGCCUGGCGGCACGCAUGUCAAGAGCACACACACUCGGGCCAACAGCCUGGCAACGCCUCCUCCUACCUCAGGCAGCUGCGGUCAUGUUGAAACCUCAGAACCACAAGAGGAAAAGCAAAAACCAACAAGGCAUUCCACGGGAAAUGGACAGAGCAGCUCUGAAUAAGAAACCUCUGAGGAGUAGGAACGCCGUCCACAGGCAGGCCAGGAAAUAAAUAAUCUGUGGUUCAACCAGGUCGGUUACAUUGGCUCAUGAAUUCAUGGGGCAGAGGAGCAUGGGGCAGAGCCAUGGCAGCGAGGGUGGCACGGGCCAAGAGUCCGCUACAGAGGAAAUGCAUCUCAUGCUUUAUGAAAAUAAUCUAAUACUUAAGAAAAUUAGGAGAUUUUCACUGAGUCACUAUCAUCUUUCCUACAAACCAGCAUGCUUCCUACUUUCUACUCCAUUUAAGGAGGCAUUCCAGGCUCACUCCUUCAGCAACGGCAGCUUUGGGGCCACAGUGCCUUGGGCAUUACUGAAAUAGGAUGUGCACAUGGCUAUCUGAUGGGCGUGAAGAGGCUGAGCGUGUGGGUGAGUGGUGAAGAUGGAAGUGGCUCUGGCCCCAUAGGACACAUGCUAG
rnacentral:lncRNA from 1 species